AACUUUCAACGGUGGAUAUCUAGGUUCCCGUGACGAUGAAGAACGCAGCGAAAUGCGAUACGCAAUGCGAAUUGCAGAACCGCGAGUCAUCAGAUCUUUGAACGCAAGUGGUGGAGGUGUAAAAACCUUCAUGUUUGUUUCAGUGUGG
rnacentral:rRNA from 14 species